rnacentral:tRNA from 1 species
GGCCGGUUAGCUCAGUGGGUUGAGCACGGUGCUGACAACAGUGACACACCGAGGUCGCAGGUUCGAUUCCCGCUCAGUCCC